rnacentral:lncRNA from 1 species
GAAGACACGCAGGAGGCCGGCGGGCCGCCCGCCCAGCCGCUGCCACGUUGCAACUGCGCACCCCUUGAUCUGUUGCCAACUUCGCGUUUGCCUCCUCCUCCUCUGCUCCCUCCCUCUCUCCCUCCGUCCCUCCAGCCUGGGCCCCGCGCCCGAGCCCAACCUGACGGUGCUGUGGAACGACAACCUGCCCGCGCCCUUCAAGGAGUUCUGCGCCAAGGUGUCGCUGGACACCAGCUCCAUCCAGUACGAGUCCGACAACCUCAUGAGCAAGCUGUUUGGCUCCGACUACUCCAUCGCCUGCUGCGUGUCGGCCAUGCGCGUGGGCAAGGACAUGCAGUACUUUGGCGCCCGCGCCAACCUGCCCAAGCUGCUGCUGUACACGCUCAACGGCGGCCGCGACGAGGUGUCGGGCGACCAGGUGGGGCCCAAGUUCGCGCCGGUGCGCAGCCCCACCGCGCCGUUGG